UACAGAGGUCUCGAGCGUUGUUCGGAUUCAUUGGGCGUAAAGGGCGCGUAGGCGGCGAGGCAAGUCGGGUGUGAAAUCUCAGAGCUCAACUCUGAAACUGCACUCGAUACUGCUUUGCUUGAGGACUGGAGAGGAGAUUGGAAUUCACGGUGUAGCGGUGAAAUGCGUAGAUAUCGUAAGGAAGACCAGUGGCGAAGGCGGGUCUCUGGACAGUUCCUGACGCUGAGGCACGAAGGUCAGGGGAG
rnacentral:rRNA from 1 species